rnacentral:rRNA from 1 species
UACGAAGGGUGCAAACGUUGCUCGGAAUUAUUGGGCGUAAAGCGCACGUAGGCGGCUUUGCAAGUCGGAUGUGAAAGCCCUCGGCUCAACCAAGGAAGUGCAUCCGAAACUGCAGAGCUUGAGUACUUAAGAGGAUCGCGGAAUUCCCGGUGUAGAGGUGAAAUUCGUAGAUAUCAAGCGGAACACCGGUGGCGAAGGCGGCCUUCUGGACUGCAACUGACACUGAGAAACGAAAGCCAGGGUAGCAAACGGG